rnacentral:rRNA from 1 species
GGGGGGACGGAGAAGGCUAGGUGGGCCUGGCGACGGUUGUCCAGGUUCAAGUGCGUAGGCUUAAGAGUUAGGUAAAUCCGGCUCUUUUUAAGGCUGAGACACGACGUCGAGCACCUACGGGUGUGAAGUCAUUGAUGCCAUGCUUCCAGGAAAAGCCUCUAAGCUUCAGAUUGUAAGGAAUCGUACCCCAAACCGACACAGGUGGUCGGGUAGAGAAUACCAAGGCGCUUGAGAGAACUCGGGUGAAGGAACUAGGCAAAAUGGUACCGUAACUUCGGGAGAAGGUACGCUCUUGAUGGUGAAGUCCCUCGCGGAUGGAGCUGACGAGAGUCGCAGAUACCAGGUGGCUGCAACUGUUUAUUAAAAACACAGCACUGUGCAAAAUCGUAAGAUGACGUAUACGGUGUGACGCCUGCCCGGUGCCGGAAGGUUAAUUG